CAGCAGCACUUCAAUAUUGGCA
rnacentral:miRNA from 1 species